GUGAAAAGCAAAGGAGAAAAGGAAAGAUAAAAGCAUCUGAAUGCAGAGUUCCAAAGAAUAGCAAGAAGACAUAAGAAAGCCUUCCUCAGUGAUCAGUGCAAAGAAAUAGAGGCAAACAACAGAAUGGGAAAGACUAGAGAUCUCUUCAAGAAAAUUAGAGAUACCAAGGGAACAUUUCAUGCAAAGAUGGGCUCAAUAAAGGACAGAGAUGGUAUGGACUUAACAGAUGUGGAAGAUAUUAAGAAGAAGUGUCAGGAAUACACAGAACUGUACAAAAAGAUCUUCACCACCAAGAUAAUCACGAUGGUGUGAUUACUCACCUAGAGUCAGACAUCCUGGAAUGUGAAGUCAAUGGGCCUUAGGAAGCAUCACUACGAACAAAGCUAGUGGAGGUGAUGGAAUUCCAGUUGAGCUAUUUCAAAUCCUGAAAGAUGAUGCUGUGAAAGUGAUGCACUCAGUAUGCCAGCAAAUUUGGAGAACUCAGCUAUGGCCAUAGGACAGAAAAAGGUCAGUUUUCAUUCCAAUCCCAAAGAAAGGCAAUGCCAAAAAAUGCUCAAACUACUACACAAUUGCAUUUGUCUCACACGCUAGUAAAGUAAUGCUCAAAAUUCUUCAAGCCAGGCUUCAACAGUAUGUGAACUGUGAACUUCCAGAUGUUCAAGCUGGUUUUAGAAAAUGCAGAGGAACCAGAGAUCAAAUUGCCAACAUCCACUGGAUUACUGAAAAAGCAAGAGAGUUCCAGAAAAACAUCUAUUUCUGCUUUAUUGACUAUGCCAAAGCCUUUGACUAUGUGGAUCACAAUUAACUGUGGAAAAUGCUGAAAGAGAUGGGAAUACUAGACCACAUGACCUGCCUCUUGAGAAACCUGUAUGCAGGUCAGGAAGCAACAGUUAGAACUGGACAUGGAACAACAGACUGGUUCCAAAUAAGGAAAGGAGUACCUCCAGGCUUUAUAUUGUCACUCUGCUUACUUAACUUGUAUGCAGAGUAUAUCGUGAGAAACACUGGGCUGGAUGAAGCACAAGGUGGAAUCAUGAUUGCUGGAAGAAAUAUCAAUAACUUCAGAUAUGCAGAUGACACCACCUAAUGGCAGAAGAUAAAGAAGAACUAAAGAGCCUCUUGAUGAAAGUGAAAGAGGAGAAGGAAAGAGUUGGAUUAAAACUCGACAUUCAGAAACUAAGAUCAUGACAUCUGGUCCCGUCACUUCAUGGCAAAUAGAUGGGAAACAGUGGCAGACUUUAUUUUUUUGGACUCCAAAAUCACUACAGAUAGUGACUGCAGCCAUGAAAUUAAAAGACACUUGCUCCUUAGAAGGAAAGUUGUGACCAACCUAGAUAGCAUAUUGAAAAGC
ensembl:lncRNA